AUUGAACGCUGGCGGCAGGCUUAACACAUGCAAGUCGAGCGGAAACGGAGGUAGCUUGCUACCAGACGUCGAGCGGCGAACGGGUGAGUAACGCGUAGGAAUCUACCUAGUAGAGGGGGACAGCCCGGGGAAACUCGGAUUAAUACCGCAUACGCCCUAAGGGGGAAAGCAGGGGAUCUUCGGACCUUGCGCUAUUAGAUGAGCCUGCGUCGGAUUAGCUAGUUGGUAAGGUAAAGGCUUACCAAGGCGACGAUCCGUAGCUGGUCUGAGAGGAUGAUCAGCCACACUGGAACUGAGACACGGUCCGGACUCCUACGGGAGGCAGCAGUGGGGAAUAUUGGACAAUGGGGGCAACCCUGAUCCAGCCAUGCCGCGUGUGUGAAGAAGGCCUCGGUUGUAAGCACUUCUAGUAGGAGG
rnacentral:rRNA from 1 species